rnacentral:lncRNA from 1 species
AACUGUACCAACUCANNNNNNNNNNNNNNNNNNNNNNNNNNNNNNNNNNNNNNNNNNNNNNNNNNAAUUUAUUUCUUAGUGGGAAUAUUUUGCUUCAGGUCCAAAAUGCCCUUCAUGAACCCAAAAUCAUUGAGCUAAGACACAACAUGAGAAGGUGUGGAAGGAAAAUGCUGAGCUAAGGCUCAAUGGUGAAGUUACUGCAGGAAAUUGGCCACCAGAGAAAAGAGUACUCUGACCUCCUGGAACAAAUCAUUGUCUUAGAAAAGACCCAGAAAGAUUUGCAAGGAGCUCAGUCUGAAAAAGUCAAUAAUAUUGCUGUACAUUCAUCUCAGGAAUAAUGUUGGAAAUCUGCACAAUUAAAAUUAAGAGCUUUUUCUCACACAGACUUGUUUCUUUUUUAGGCUUUAACUAAUUGCAUUUCCCAGUUGAGGAGUGUCUCUGAAAGUGCAUUUGAGGGCAAUCACAUAUAGAUGAGUGGAGAACUGGCAGGUCAGAUUGACCCCACUGAGGCCAGAAGGCUUUCCCCUUGAAUAAGUAUUUUUUUAAUUAAUUAAUUUUUAAAAUUAAUUAAUUUAUUUAAUGUUACAUUCAAAAAAUAUGAGGUCCCCACCCCUCCCCACACAACAACAACCUCCUCCAUCAUCAUGAGACAAUCAUUGCACUUGGUGAAUACAUCUCUGAGCACUGCUGCACCUCAUGGGUUGAUUAAGUAUUCAAGUGCUCUCUUCAGCCAGCUGCAUGCCCUCUCCAGUACUGCCCUCGUGGGCUCCUAGCCCUGGACUUGUGUCUCCAACUGCAUGUGUGCAGCAAAGCGGGUGUUGGGCAUGGCAGAGCAGGGGCACACAGGGAACCCUCACCUCUCAUUUCCCUGAAGUAUACACCUGACAAAGGUGCACUGUACUGAAUGUGGGCUGUAUCCUAAUUACAGUAUUAUUGUAAGGAAAACACUGAGAUACCACUUCACACCUAGUAGUGUUGUAGAAUUUGAGAGAGGUUCAAUUAUUUGCGUAUAGAAAGGCCAGGACUCAGGAAUGAUUUUGAGAAGGAAAAAUGGUUUCUUGACGGCUGGCCGGACUCGGGAGCUUUCUGUUUCAAACCCAAGCCCGGAACAAGAUUUUCAAGUUCCUUUUAUACAGAGUAAGGGCUAAAUCUUUCUUUGUUUCAGUGCUCAAUAAGUUUAAAUUAGCAUAUAUCUUCCACAUCCUAGGUAAACUUUUAGCAUGGACUUCAUACAUUCUAGAUAAACUUUUAGCACAUUUGGUUUGCAGUAGGAUGCCUAUGAUUAAAAGACAGAAAUAACAAGUUUGGCCAGCACGGGGAGAAAUUCUAUUCCCUGUACAUUAAAGUUAGAAAUGUACAAAGGCGCAGUCACAUAGAAAAAACUCAUGGCUGUCACUAAAAAGUGAAACAGCAUUACCUUAUGACCCACCAAUUUGCUUCUAGUAUAUAUCCAAGACAUAUGAAAUGUGUGUCCACACCUGACAUUGCACUGAAACAUCCCAAGCAGCAUUACUAUAGGAGCCCCAAAGAGGAGACAAAACGAAUGACUAUGAACUGAUGAACACAAAGACCUUAUAUGGUAUACCUAAACAAUGGGGUGUUAUUUCACAAUAAUAAAUGAAAUAUGGACACGUGCUAAAACGUGGAUAAAGUAUGAAAACAAUUAGUUAAGACAGAUAGAAAAGGUCACAUAUUGUAUGAUUCUGUUUAUAUGAAAUGUCCAGAAUCGGUCAAUUCCUAGAGAAAGAAAUUAUUUUAGUGGUUGCUGGGGCCUGGGGAGAGGGGUUUGGGAUAAAUGGGGAGUAACUGUUCAUGGGAAUGGGGUUUUCUUUUGGGGGUGAUGAAAAUAUGUGGGAUUUAGAUGGUGAUAAUGGGAUUUUGCAUAACUUCUGCAUGUGAAUAUAGCAGGAAAUUCUAAACUGUAUUCGCUAAAAGGGUAAAUUGUAUGGUUUGUCCAUAAUAUGUAAAUAUUAAAAGUCAAUUAUCCUUAUUCAAAUGUGCUGACUAAUUUGUUUCUUUUUGAAUUUUUGAACAUUAAAAUAAGUGUUUACUUUGGUUAACUCUGGAAUCAAGAAAAUAUCAAGUAAGGAUACAAAAGAGUUUAAAGCAAUUUAACAUUUCUGUGUUUUAGGUGACAUGAACAUAAAGAAGAAAUUUCAAAUGAUACAGAUGAUGGAUGUAUCCCAGGUAUAAAACUUUUACACAGUGUCCUAUGUGCUGCUAAGGAGAUUUA